rnacentral:rRNA from 1 species
AGCUGCCUACGGGGCGCAGCAGUCGAGAAUCAUUCACAAUGGGGGAAACCCUGAUGGUGCGACGCCGCGUGGGGGAAUGAAGGUCUUCGGAUUGUAAACCCCUGUCAUGUGGGAGCAAAUUAAAAAGAUAGUACCACAAGAGGAAGAGUCGGCUAACUCUGUGCCACCAGCCGCGGCAAUACAGAGGUCUCAAGCGUUGUUCGGAAUCACUGGGCGUAAAGCGUGCGUAGGCUGUUUGGUAGGUCGUGUGUGAACGG